GUCCACGCCGUAAACGAUGAGUGCUAAGUGUUAGAGGGUUUCCGCCCUUUAGUGCCGAAGUUAACGCAUUAAGCACUCCGCCUGGGGAGUACGGCCGCAAGGCUGAAACUCAAAGGAAUUGACGGGGGCCCGCACAAGCGGUGGAGCAUGUGGUUUAAUUCGAAGCAACGCGAAGAACCUUACCAGGUCUUGAAUCCUCUGAAAACCCUAGAGAUAGGGCUUCUCCUUCGGGAGCAGAGUGACAGGUGGUGCAUGGUUGUCGUCAGCUCGUGUCGUGAGAUGUUGGGUUAAGUCCCGCAACGAGCGCAACCCUUAUCUUAGUUGCCAUCAUUAAGUUGGGCACUCUAAGGUGACUGCCGGUGACAAACCGGAGGAAGGUGGGGAUGACGUCAAAUCAUCAUGCCCCUUAUGACCUGGGCUACACACGUGCUACAAUGGACGGUACAAAGAGCUGCAAGACCGCGAGGUGGAGCUAAUCUCAUAAAACCGUUCUCAGUUCGGAUUGGAGGCUGCCACUCGCCUUCAAGAAACCAAACGUGUAAAUUCAUAUUCCAGAAAAACACCCGGGGCAAAUUCUU
rnacentral:rRNA from 2 species